rnacentral:rRNA from 1 species
UACGUAGGGUGCAAGCGUUGUCCGGAAUUAUUGGGCGUAAAGAGCUCGUAGGCGGCUUGUCACGUCUGCUGUGAAAACUCGGGGCUCAACCCCGAGCCUGCAGUGGAUACGGGCUAGCUAGAGUGCGGUAGGGGAGACUGGAAUUCCUGGUGUAGCGGUGAAAUGCGCAGAUAUCAGGAAGAACACCCGUGGCUAAGGCGGCUCUCUAGUACGGUACUGACGCUGAGACGCGAAAGCGUGGGGAGCGAACAGG